CAGCAGCCGCGGUAAUACGGAGGGGGCUAGCGUUGUUCGGAAUUACUGGGCGUAAAGCGCACGUAGGCGGCUUGGUAAGUUAGAGGUGAAAGCCCAGGGCCCAACCCUGGAAUUGCCUUUAAGACUGCCGAGCUAGUAGGUGAGAGGGGUGAGUGGAAUUCCGAGUGUAGAGGUGAAAUUCGUAGAUAUUCGGAAGAACACCAGUGGCGAAGGCGGCUCACUGGCUCAUUCUAGACGCUGAGGUGCGAAAGCGUGGGGAGCAAACAGGAUUAGAUACCCCCGUAGUCCCUGUCCUUAUACA
rnacentral:rRNA from 1 species